rnacentral:misc_RNA from 1 species
UCGAACGGGGCCUCCGGGCCACCUUCGCUCAAACCCGUGGAUACCAGAUGUGCUUCGGCGCCUCGUGCGUCGAGUCAAUGCAUCCAUGCUUCGUCGUCUGAUUAUAAAUGGAAUUUUA